UACAGAGGUCCCAAGCGUUGUUCGGAUUCACCGGGCGUAAAGGGUGCGUAGGCGGUCAGGUAAGUCUGAUGUGAAAUCUCUGGGCUUAACCCAGAAAUGGCAUUGGAUACUAUUUGGCUUGAGAGUUGGAGGGGGGACUGGAAUUCUUGGUGUAGCAGUGAAAUGCGUAGAUAUCAAGAGGAACACCAGUGGCGAAGGCGAGUCCCUGGACAACUUCUGACGCUGAGGCACGAAAGCUAGGGGAGCAAACAGG
rnacentral:rRNA from 1 species